rnacentral:lncRNA from 1 species
GCAGUUGCAAUGCAUAUGGACACAAUGUAAGGAUGUGUAAGAAGAGCCAGAAAAGCAAGGUAAAUCUUCUUGGUAAUGUUAUUUACAAGUUCAUUUAUUUACAACUAUUUCUUAUCUAACUAUCUUACUCCUUUCAUAGGACAAAAGGGGUGCAUCUGCAUCAACACCUGGAUCUGCUGCAAGGGAAGCGCCAGCAAGAACGACUGCAUCUGCAGGAAGGGGAGCAUCUGGAAGGGGAACAUCUGCAUCAGUUGCAAGGGGGGCAUCAUCCUCAACAUCACAAGCUGGAAGGGGAUCAGGCAGAGAAGUAGGGGCUGCAUCCACAUCACAAGCUGGAGGGUCUGCAACUAUGCGUGAAGGGGGAGCAAGAGCUUCCUCAAGACUAGUUGGACAAUUUCUAGGGUCUCAAGCAAGUUGUAAUUGAGUAGAGGAGAAUCUUUGUAUUUAAAGUUGUUAUUUGAGACAAGUUGUAGUGGAG